rnacentral:lncRNA from 1 species
GAGUUGUUUCCCCAUCUAGGAGCACGAUUGGUUUCUUCACGUAAGGAGUUGUUGCCCCAUAUAGAAGCACGACUGCUUUCUUCUGGUAAGGUGUUGUUGCCCCAUCUAGGCCAACGACUGGUCUCCUCCGUUAAGGAGUUGUUGCCCAUUCUAGAGGCGCGACUGGUCUCCUCUGAUAAGGGAUUGUUGCCCCAUCUGGGGGCAUGGUUAGCUUCCUCUGACAAGGAGUUGUUGCCCCAUCUAGGGGUACGGCUAUUUUGCUCUGAUAACAAACUGUUGCCCCAUCUAGGCGCAUGACCACCAGCCUCCCCAGACAUGGAAUUGCGACC